GACAGAGGCCCCGAGCGUUAUGCGGAAUCACUGGGCUUAAAGCGUGUGUAGGCGGACCGGUAAGUACCUUGUGAAAUCCCACGGCUCACCCGUGGAACUGCUGGGUAUACUGCCGGUCUCGGGCCAACUAGGGGCAACUGGAACAAGCGGUGGAGCGGUGAAAUGCGUAGAUAUCAGGAGGAACACCUGUGGCGAAAGCGGCUCACUGGACCAUAACUGACGCUGAUGCACGAAAGCUAGGGGAGCAAACAGG
rnacentral:rRNA from 1 species